AUUCCAUUCUUGUUUCUAGACAAAACUCACCCUCUCUGUCUCUCUCCCACUUACAGGGUCCUGGGCCCAGUCUGUGCUGACACAGCAGCCCUCACUGUCUGGGACUCCAGGACAGACAAUCACCAUCUCCUGCACUGGAAGCAGCAACAAUAUUGGUGGCUAUUAUGUGAACUGGUACCAACAACUCCCAGAAACAGCACCUAAGCUCACCAUCUAUGAAUAUAGCAAACGAAACUCAGAGGUCUCUGAUCGCUUCUCUGGCUCCAAUUCUGGCAACUCUGCUUCACUGACCAUCACUGGGCUCCAUCCUGAGGAUGAGGCUGACUAUUACUGUCAGUCUUAUGACAGUAGCCUCAGUUCUCACACAGUGCUCCAGGC
rnacentral:lncRNA from 1 species